GACAGUGUUUUCUUUCGUUAAAGACUGAACCUUCUGCUCCAGCUACACUAUUGCUCUGCCCUCCAUUGAAGUCAACAGUCCAUCAUGUCAGCAGUGAGCCAGUGUCUCUGCGUUUGGAUACAACUGCUGGUGAAGUAGAGAACUACAUUGUGACCAAAAUUGUGAUCUAGAGCAUCAUCCGACAUGGUGGAGUACAGACUCCUAACUGACAUACUGUACUCUUGCAUCCUCCUGUUGAUGGUACUUCUUGAGACUCCAAGAAUGUCUGCGACACGCGUGGCAGUAAGACCUAGCGGAAGAAGAUUGUGGAGGUGGUCUUCUGCGACCUGGAGCCUAAAGGGGACCCAUCCUUCUCACCACAGAGAUAGAAGAUGGAGUAGUGUUCCACAGGUGUAACAAGCUGCUCAGUUCUUCAGGUGCUUCACAGACCUCAUGAGGAAGAUCUACAUUCUGGAGUGCAUUUAUGAAGGUCCUCUCAAAAUAAUCAAGCCGACUCAACACUGUUCGGUGCAUUGCUGCCUCCCACUGCUGUCUAACGUGACAUCUCUGCUACAGGUCCAGGAAAUGGUCAAAAACAAACCUGCUGAUCAGCCAAAAAGGAGCUCUGUGCAUCUGCUCUUCCUGAAUGACCUUGAUGUGUCUGUGACCUUGAAAGUGAAUCUUGUGGAUUGAAAUUGAAUUUAGAGAACCGAAUUUGAAUUGAGAGAACUGAAAGUCAAGGUACAUAUAGAGUUGAAUUUCUAGUGAGGCUCAAAUACAAUUUUAGUCUCAACAGAAUUCAGUUUCAUAAUAUGACAUUCAGUUUCAAGUUUAAUGGAAUUCAGAUUCAAACUAUUAAAUUCAGUUUCAAAUUCUGCUAUUCAUAUUCAGUUUUUUUCAGCAUCGUAUGAUUGCCGACUCAGCCCUACACACAGGCCCCUGUACCUGUCACUGUUUUGUCUGGUACCAUUGACCUUCUCCUCCUGCUUUUCUUCCUCAUCCUUCUCAUGCAGCACCUCCUGUUUCUCCUCUAAUUCCUCUCCCUCCUUAUCAACAUGACUGGGGUUAUCAUCACCCUGUCCCUCUCCAUCACCUCCACUGACCUUAACAGCUAAUAUAGGCUCCAUGGGCUACAGACAAAGCCAAAAGAAAUUCCUCACUUCUACGAUGUUCUCUUUGUGUGAUAACACAUUGCAAACUGUUGUUUAUAAUAUAUUGUAUAUAUAUAACAAAUAUGGCUAUAAAUAAAUCAUAUAUAAAUAAUUUCAGUAGCUAUAUAAUAAAUGCAUUACUAAUGAUGCACCUAUCCCUGCCUGUGCUGGGUCCUGCCUCAUCUGCGCCUGUCGC